rnacentral:rRNA from 1 species
ACUCAAAUGAAUAGACGGGGACCCGCACAACCAGUGGAGCGUGUGGUUUAAUUCGAGACAAAGCGAAAAACCUCACCAAGGCUUGACAUAAUAGCGUUCUAUGCCCGAGAAACCGGGCAAAUCCGUAAGGAGGCUAUUACAGGUGCUGCAUGGCUGUCGUCAGCUCGUGCCGUGAGGUGUUCCAUUAAGUUGGGAAACGAGUGCAACCCUCGUCCAAUGUUAAAUAUUCAUUGGAGACUGCCCUGGCUUUGCCAGGGAGGAAGGAGAGGCAGAUGUCAAGUCAGCAUGGCCCUUAUGCCUUGGGCUACACACACCCUACAAUGGCGAACAACAAUGGGUUGCAAGCUCGCAAGAGCAAGCUAAUCUCAGAAAUUUCGCCUCAGUUCAGAUAGAGGUCUGAAACUCGACCUCUUGAAGUUGGAAUUGGUAGUAAUCGCGGAUCAGCGGGCCGCGGUGAAUACGUUAUCGGGUCUUGUACACACCGCCCGU